rnacentral:rRNA from 1 species
ACGAACGCUGGCGGCGUGCUUAACACAUGCCAGUCGAACGGGUCUGCCCUGUUUUUUGCGGGGUGGGUCAGUGGCGAACGGGUGAGUAACACGUGAGUAACCUGCCCCUCACUUCUGGAUAACCGCUUGAAAGGGUGGCUAAUACGGGGUGUUCUGGCUGUGCCGCAUGGUGUGGCUGGGAAAGAUUCACUUUUGUGGUGUUUUGGUGGGGGAUGGGCUCGCGGCCUAUCAGCUUGUUGGUGGGGUGAUGGCCUGCCAAGGCUUUGACGGGUAGCCGGCCUGAGAGGGUGGGCGGUCACACUGGGACUGAGAUACGGCCCAGACUCCUGCGGGAGGCAGCAGUGGGGGGUAUUGCACAAUGGGCGGAAGCCUGAUGCAGCGACGUCGCGUGAGGGAUGGAGGCCUUCGGGUUGUGAACCUCUUUCGCCGGUGAAGAAGGUCCUGCUCUUUGUGGUGGGGUUGACGGUAGCCGGGUUAUGAAGCGCCGGCUAACUACGUG